UACGGAGGGUGCAAGCGUUGUCCGGAAUCACUGGGCGUAAAGGGCGCGUAGGCGGCUAUGUAAGUCACUUGUGAAAUCCCGGGGCUCAACUCCGGGGCCGCAGGUGAGACUGUGUGGCUAGAGCAUGGUAGAGGCGAGUGGAAUUCCUGGUGUAGCGGUGAAAUGCGCAGAUAUCAGGAGGAACACCAAUGCGAAGGCAGCUCACUGGGACGUUACUGACGCUGAGACGCGAAAGCGUGGGGAGCAAACAGG
rnacentral:rRNA from 1 species